UCAAAAGCAGGUGCAAUUGAGAUGCGUCUAGCUGGGGGUUCAUUUGGAUUGGAAAGCUUGGGGCUGUGCUCAACGCUGGCAUUUCCAUUAGCCAAUCCCACUUCUGGAGCAGAAUUCAAUCCCUUUCCUUCAUAUUCAUUCUUAAAGCUGGGUCCAACAACAACCUUCCUUUUCUUAUCAGGUCUACCAGCCUUGGCACCUGAAGAUUCAUUGUAGCUAGAAGAGACAUUUGAAUUCAUGUUUAUUGAUGGCAGUUUUCAUUGAAUGCUUUCCAUUGGCUGCUGAUUUAAAAUUAGCUCUUGCACGUGUAGCAUUUCCAUUAACCUGAUAAACAGCAUCAGUGGAUACAGCGGAUGAUCCAUUGUGACCCACAACUGCUGCAGAAGUUCCAGAGAAUGAGCUCCACUGAAAUGACACAUUUGAAACAUACUCAUAUCCAUGUCCAGUGUGUAAUCCUGAAGCCCCAUUGCCUGUAAAUACAGCAGCAGUGGUUGGGACAUAUGUAACUCCAUCAUAUCCAUGACUUCCAUACCCGCUACCAGGAACAUAUGACCAGGGACAGUAAGGAAAAGAACCACUAACUGGAGCUGUCCCAGUUUCGACAGCAAUGAAAGUACCUCGACAGUUCUUACAUGAAAGUCUCUUAUUCACAUACUUCCGUAGAUACUCAUAUUGAACUUUACAAGAAGUGCAUAC
rnacentral:misc_RNA from 1 species